rnacentral:rRNA from 1 species
GGAUGAAUAUUGGGCAAUGGAGGCAACUCUGACCCAGCCAUGCCGCGUGCAGGAAGACUGCCCUAUGGGUUGUAAACUGCUUUUAUACAGGAAGAAACACUCCCUUGUGAGGGAGUUUGACGGUACUGUAAGAAUAAGCACCGGCUAACUCCGUGCCAGCAGCCGCGGUAAUACGGAGGGUGCAAGCGUUAUCCGGAAUCAUUGGGUUUAAAGGGUCCGCAGGCGGUCAAUUAAGUCAGAGGUGAAAUCCCAUAGCUUAACUAUGGAACUGCCUUUGAUACUGUUUGACUUGAGUUAUACGGAAGUAGAUAGAAUAAGUAGUGUAGCGGUGAAAUGCAUAGAUAUUACUU